UAUUUGUAUCAGUUCUUGAAGAAUGAAAAGAAAAAGGGAUAACAACGAGUCGUUGUUAAACGAUGACGAAGAAGAAAGAGAAAAUAACUUCGUUUAAAUAAAAUGUGGCUUGCAAACAAUACUUCGACCAGAGCAUGCAGCAGUUGUGACUCAAAUAUUGUUUGAGCGAGUCUUCAAAUGAUGGAAAUUGCCUCAUUGGCCUCACUUUUGAUUUUAUUUUAGGUGAAUGAAGCACUCGAUAAUGAAAAUCAUCAGUUCUUUUUGUGAUGGGAUCGUUGAAACUUCUUCAAAGAAUACUUCAAUGCGGUAUUGACCAAAAACGUUUACGAUAAUAAUACCAUUUAUCAAAGACCGCCAGAGUUUAGGUUUAUGGUCGAAAACUUCAGUAAUGAACAGUUCCAAUGGCUGAGCAACGAAAAGUUGGGAAAUGUCAAAGAGUUUGCAUAUCGAUUCACCAACCUUACAAAUGGUAAUGUGGAAAUAGUAGAAAUGCCAACAUUUUAUUGGAUGAUGUAAUCGCAAUUGGAUGGCGACGCCAAAAAUGCCAGGAAAACAUCACGAUAAUAAACACGCAAUUCCACUGGGAUACUCAGCAAAAACGAAGAGAAAAAGAGGCGAAAGAAAGAAAUUCAUAUUGAAGAAAAGAAUCAUCUGAAGUCAUACCCUUUCGGUCCACCAUUACCACGUAAUUCGACAUGGAAAGGUUAAAAUUACCUACAAAAAUUGGCCAUUAAAUGUUCAGGAUGAUGAUGCUGCACUAUAGACAGUUGUUUGGCACACGCGAUAUUGUUGCUGCAAAAUGAAUUAUGCUCAAAGGAGUUUGUCGGAUGUUUGGCGUACUAGUGCCUGGAGGUCAAGAGAGAUUGACAAUGUAUGAAGCCUAUAAGUAAUUUUUCACGAGGAAUCCGAAUAUGUAAAUAAUUUUGGGGUAUGGACCCAAUUUCGGGAUAUUUUUCGAAAUUUUCGUGAAUUUUGUAGGGGGACCCCUCUUGGGGGUGAUGGGAGGGGACGGUCAAUGGCCCAAAUGAAAUGUUCGGAUAAAAUUAGUUAUACAAGUUGCGUCUCAAAGUAAACAGGACUUGAUUUGAAUGUAAAUCUUAAUACAAUCAAGCUAAAAAUUGAAAAUUAUUUAAAACAAAAUA